rnacentral:rRNA from 1 species
CCUACGGGGGGCUGCAGUAAGGAAUAUUGGUCAAUGGAGGAAACUCUGAACCAGCCAUCCCGCGUGAAGGAUGAAGGGGCUCUGCCUUGUAAACUUCUUUUGUCUGGGGCGAAAAAGCUCGAUUUAUCGAGAACUGACGGUACCAGAAGAAUAAGCACCGGCUAACUCAGUGCCAGCAGCCGCGGUAAUACGGAGGGUGCAGGAAUUAUGGGGAAUCACGGGGUUUUAGGCGGCUUUAGGCGGCUUAGGUGAAAGGCUGGGGCUUAACCAUGGAAUUGCCAUUGAUACUGCAGAGCUUGAAUGAGGUUGAGGUUGGCGGAAUGUGACAUGUAGCGGUGAAAUGCUUAGAUAUGUCAUGGAACACCGAUUGCGAAGGCAGCUGACUGGACCUAUAUUGACGCUGAGGCACGAAAGCGUGGGGAGCGAACAGGAUUAGAUACCCCUGUAGUC